UUCCCGAGGACGUGAGGACGACGGUGCAUACGUUAAAAGGCCUAAUCUACAGAACUAAACCAACUUCAGCGUGAGCUUAAAGUAUGGCAACUUGGUAUGAACUUUGAACUCUUAUUCACUAAAGAAGUGAUACCUCCUAGCCGUUGAGUGAGAAGCAGCAGCUGUAAACGUGGGCUAGGAAGGGAAGGACAAAGUAUCUCUUCUACCAAACACAAGACGUUACUACAACGCAUCCGUUCUACCAUACAUUCUUCAGAGGACAGGAAGAUCCCUUCCAUCUACGACCAACCUAUUGAAGCACAGCUCAGAGUCAGGGGCGAAGCAUGGAAACGCGGAUGCCCUAUCGAGAAGGGAGACAUAUGUCGCACUGAUGACAGUCCCCUCCCCGACCAGAGCUAAGGGGGGGCGUACAGCAGGUCAGCCACCAGAGGGAGACUCGUCGAGGCCUGGUGACAGACGGAAUAUACAUCACGAGGCGAUGGCUCCAUCUGCUGGACGUGCCAGGUCUCUCCGGCCAGGGCUGAUUGGGGAUUGGUGAGAAAUCAAGGGCUGAUUGCUCACCAGCUGUACAAGUCCCAUAAAGCUGCCAGAAGGGCAGCACACAGAGGAGAGACUGGGGGAGGAAAGGACUCCUGUAUAGUUGGGGAUGGUACCAGAGGUAACAGGAGGGAGUUCAGUUUUUGAUCCCCACAGGAUACAGCAAGACCUAGAGCCCAGAAGACGGUAUCCUGGAGAGGGUCUCUUGGGAAGACCUAUUAUUUUCUUUUGAACUUAUUUUAAUAAACACCUUUUGAAACUGA